UACGAAGGGGGCUAGCGUUGCUCGGAAUCACUGGGCGUAAAGCGCACGUAGGCGGCUUUUUAAGUCAGGGGUGAAAUCCCGGAGCUCAACUCCGGAACUGCCUUUGAUACUGAAGAGCUUGAGUUCGGGAGAGGUGAGUGGAACUGCGAGUGUAGAGGUGAAAUUCGUAGAUAUUCGCAAGAACACCAGUGGCGAAGGCGGCUCACUGGCCCGAUACUGACGCUGAGGUGCGAAAGCGUGGGGAGCAAACAGG
rnacentral:rRNA from 1 species